GUAGGUAGGUAGGUAGGUAGGCAGGCAGGAGGCAGGCAGACCGGCGAGCAGGCAGGGUGGGCACAGAGCGAUCAUAACUCAGGUGGCCGCGGACAAGCAGCGCUUGUUCCGUGCAUUUGGAACACGGAACACACACGAGCACGCCGAGAGACCACGAACUCGUGGACACACUCGUAUUCUCUUUCUCGGUCUCGCCCUGUGCUUUUCCGUCUUUCUUCCGUCGCGUUUUUCCCUUCUUGUCGCGCUCACGAGCAUGUGCAUACACAUCGUCUCUCUUGCUGUGUCCCUCCCUCUCUUUUUCUCUCUCAUUUCCUUUCCCUCUUUUUCACGCACGCUUUUGCGCUGGAGCGUUUGUUGGACGGUUCGUGGCGUGGACGGUGGCAGCCGCGGCACGCCAACACAAUCCGUGGAUCUCUGUCGCGUAUACUCGCGCGUAAAAGUUACACCUGGCCACGGCCAAGAAAGGUGCAACAGGGUGUUUUGUAAUUCAUCUAAUUUUUUAAGCAACGUCAGUUUUCUUUCACAAUUUCCACUUAACGAUGAAUGAGACAUAGUGUCUGAUAAACAUCUACUUUAUUAUAAUUACGACUCUUAAGCUCUCGUUCUUGACACGAAUCUAUUAAUACUGCAAAGUGGAAAAAUAUCUUUCUGGGAAAGUCCUAACAUCGCACGAUGUAUAAUGCCAUUAAAUUUAUCAAAGAAAAUUCUCUGUCGCUUUCAAUCCCAGAACAACUUCAUCAUUCGAGGAUGAACGAAACAGGCAAGAGGAGCGGGUGUGAACGAGGCUUUACCGCCGACGACGGAGUGUGUAACUUUUGCCGACGACUGUACUGAGGGAGCUUACACCGUCGGCCGAAGAAGAACCGGCUACGUGGUCGCCAGCUCGUGUCCGUCCAUCCGUCGCGCUACAAAUGAAGACUUUAAAUAAUUUAGUCGCCGGCUGUAAAUCCCGUCGGGAAGCGACGUUAAUCGAUACACGCCGCCGUGCGCCGCUCCGUUAUACGGUCCGGGAACAUUUAUGAAUGCGCGCUAUGAAUCACGAGAUAAUAAUAUUGCGCGCGCGAGCGCGAGCGUGUGUGCACGCGAGGGCUCUUCGAGUACCGCGAGCGCGCGGCCAUGUCGUUAAAUAUAGUCGCGCCUUAAUGCCCGCGCCGGGCAUUGUGCGAGGGAGCUCGUUACCGCGAUUAUAUUUUUUCGCGUGCUCGGCGAACGUCGUAACUGUCCCAGCUUUGUUUUUUACGACGUUCGGGAAACACUUUGUCCGCGACCGCGAAGCGGCUGUCAUCGGUAGCACCGCGCUUCCACCGAGAAUCCGCCGUUUUGCCGCGGUCGGCGAGUUUGGGUUUUCGGUCAGUGGAGGCGGAGGAGGAAGAGCGUGAAAAUUUACGCGAUCCCGAAAUGGAAACCGCGCGCCGCCGCUGAAUUAUUCCUCUACGCGGAAUAUCGGGUGCGGAAUACUUCUGCCCCGUGACGUGCCGGAGCAAGUGCCGUUCAUGUUCCUCGGAACGUGUACUCCGGAGUCGGUUGACACUCACUGACUCGCUGAUUGCGUUAAGUGUUAAAUAUUGACGCGCGCGGACCGUAUCGCGUUUCGCUGUCUCGCAGAAGGUCAGGGAACUCAAUCGCGAUUAUUCUGCUAGCACUGUAAAGAGUGAAUCGCGUUUUCCAGGUUGAAAUUUGCGUCGUGAAAAUUAUGUCACAUGUUUUGGACAAUUUGGACACUCCGUUAACUAUGAAACUCUAUUGUACCGAAGCAGGUUCAAUCGCGAGUCGAAACAUGUCUACAGUUCUCUUGGAGGAAAAUAAAUUAUUUAACUACACACGGUGUCGGUUCACAGAGGUAUUUCUCCUUCCCAAGGUGAUUUAUUUCGCGAGAGCUUUUACACAUCUACAUUGUUAAUUUAAUGAUUUAAUAUAGAUAAUUCAUCGCUUAUUUCUAUUCACCCAUAAUCCCUUCCAUUGAGUUUUUUGCAUCUGUUCCACGAACGUGUUUCAUACGCGCGUCUGUUGAUUUUCGCCGCGCGUAUUAUAAUUCGUAAUGGUAUUACGAUCUUUAUACCGGAGCCGAAGUCGUUUUCGGGCAGACACGGAGGAUCGAUUUAUCGGCCGGGAACGACGCUAAUAAAUUACGGUAAUAGCAUUAAGAUAGAUCGACGGCCAGGCGCGUAGGCGUGGAGACGCGCGGCGCGGCGCGGCGGCCGACAAUAUUUUAGCCAGCAGUAGCUUUAUGACCAGAGGUUACGAGCCAGGAAGAGCCAUAACGCCUCGUAUCUUCCCUGCCCUCGCCGCCCCCUUCGGCGUUCCUUGCAUUUGCGGGAAAGCUCGGCACGGGUGCCAAUUCCUAGGAGCGUAUCGGACCAUAAACUGGAAACGUGAUGUAUGUUACCUUCUGCCCUGCAACCCCUUUCCCCCUUUCUCGCGGCACCACCCUCUUUCAUCCCGGCCGUUCGUCCGAUUCCGUCCACACUCUCGUGCAAAACAUGUCCGUACCCGGCGUUACUCUCGUUACUCUCAAUACGUGCCGGCGCGAAAUUCGUUGCACCUCGCUGACAAAGCGUCCCUCCCUCCCUCUACUACCUGUCCCCGUCGGGUUGGCGUGAAUUUUUCUCGUUCGCCGCAACGAAAACGCGACGGGAGCACGGAAAACACCCGCGACGGCUUGGAAAGAAUCGAGAGGCGACGAGAUUAAAAUUUUCCACGCGCUCGUUUUUUCGGUGUCGGUUCGAUCGCGCUUGAUAAAUAUUGUGACAUCAUCGGUAUACCGUAGAUACCGAAAAUUGAAUCGUUUCGCGACGCGUCGCGCCGCGUCGCGCCGCGUCGAGGAGAAAGCGGAGAGAGCGUUUGCGCGGGUUUUUCUACUUCCGGUUCUCGCGGGCCGGUCGGAGGACGCGUCGCGGAGGACGAGACCACGGUGCGCGAGGAUACAUGCACGGACGUGCAUUCAAUUAGGGAAUAUUAUUCCCAGCCGAGUAACGACGAGGCUCGUUAUUGUCGCGCGCGUUGCCGCGAUUCUUGUCUCGAUAUCGGCGAUAAGUGGGACACCGGGCGCGCAGAAAAUGGCACGCCAAUAUGAAUAAAUUAAACUAUCCCGUCGGGUUGUAUAUCGUAUAAGCACGAGUCGUAACACUCAGAGGCACGGUAAUGAGAGUAAAUCACGGAUUUAUCGUCGCUCGUCGGAGAUUAUACGGUAAACACGUACGCGGUUUAUCGUCGGUAACUGCGCCAUGCCAUCGUGAACGAGCGCGCGCGCACGUGACGGCCCAUAUUUUUCGUCACCUAAAUGCCGAAGGGGGAAGUUUCAACACCGAUAUAAUAUUACUGUCCUAUUCACUCUCGGCGACCUUUCCUGAUGCAGACCUGUCCUCUCUCUCUCUCUCUCUCUCUCUUUCUCUCUCUUCGCCGCGUAUGUGCCGCUUGUCCAGUGGCGUAGCCACCGCAGCUGGUCAUUUUACAAGUGAGUUUAACACGUUGAUAUUUGCGGAACAAUAUUUGUCGUUUUCGCGCGGACAGAUUUCGUGCGAAUCACCGAUUUAUUGUCCUUUCAAGUUCGCCUGCGUUAUGGAGUUUUUAAAUAAAAUUCAGGAGAUAUUCUAGGCUACGUGAUGGUAUUUUUUAUCAUCCAUCGAAUGAUAAAAAAUACCAUCAUAAUCUAUAAAAAUCAAUAAAUGUUUCUAUAAAAGUUGCAUAUUAAUAACGCUUCAACACUUUUCUAUAAAAAAAAAUUCUUGACAUGCCUUUUUUCCGAACUCAGCAGAGUAGAAUAAUCCUCUUAAGAACGAACCGCUUUCAGAAAGAAGAAUCUCGCAGUUUGAUAUAUUUCUUUAUAAUCUCUCUAUUCUUUAUAAUUCUGUAUAAAUUAUUAGUCGGUUUAACUAUUAUAAUAAAUAGUGAUCCGAUUCCUUAGAUCGUGCACGUAACCUGAGCAUCAUAACGAAUGUGAUAACGGCUUUUGGUAAUGAGCGAACUUUUAUGCAGCAUUGUACAACAUAAUCUCGAAAGGCGAUACACGCUUUAUCAUUUCGGAAAGAAAUUUAUGAAACAACUUGGAUCCCAAACGGGCACUUUCCCCGAAAUUACGGCACUGCCGUUGUCGGGGUCCUUCCUAUUCACGACGGUCGUACGUACACGCCUAUGGACUUGGAUGUGGCUAUAAAUUAGGUUUUAUGAGGGAGAUAAAAUGCGCGUUAUUAUCUAAACGGCGACGCCUUUACAGAGAUCGUGGCCCACGCUAUUCUUUGACCGCGUACGUGUGCGUGAGAGGGUGAGAGUAUAUGCGUGCGUGCAUGCGUGAGUGCGCGCGUACGUGUCCGCAGCGCGGAAAGGCAUUCACCCUCGAAUACGUCGUCUACGACGAUCCCUUCGUAAUACGCAUAGAUUGACUGUCAAGUCCAGGGAAUGAAUAGGAAAUUGGAUGGGAAGAACGAUAGCUCGACACCGGGAGAUAAUCUUUAUCGCGUAAUGUUUCCAUAUUUUCGCGCCGAAUUUCUCCGCUCGUUAGAAAGGAGCAUCCACGUCGGUUAUAUCCGUCACUAGAAUUUGAGCCAAGUAUUCGAGCGUUUUAGAAUUCUUUACGUUCUCGUUUAGUCUAACGUUUAUCUUCGUUACGAGAGAUAGAUGUGUUUAGCCGUGUAAUCUUAUAUUUAUUUCUCAAAUAAAAGUUAUAAUGAAAAGAGAAAAACAAAAUAAAAAUAAAAGAUAUAGAUAUUCAAAUGCAGCGUGGUAAACUAUGAAAAUUGGAAUGACAGUGAAAACAUUAAUCACAUCGUAUAUGUAUUAAGGCGUCGUAUUUCUUAGUUCUCAUACAUCAACCGAUUUUAAUGGUUGUAAGGAUUCACAUACGAAGAUUUGUUGUUUCAGUGGCAUGGUUAGUUUAAGUCUAUCAUUAAUUUCACUAUGACAAGUACCGCAGGAAAUUUAUUACCUGGCGUUCCUUUGUAAGCGCGGAUGUUUUUCUACGUAACGAUGAAACCCCCGAGCACGAUUAUUUAUAAACCAUGAUUAAACUCUCUUUCCAUGCCAAAGUCGUACGAAAAAGCUUGAAACAUUAAACAGUCCACGUGCAUGUUCACAGAGUCACGGACAACGCUUCUGUCAGUCACUUUUUCCUCGAUACAUAAUUUACUCGGACUCUUUAGUUUAGAUGCACACAAACUAGGUGUCCACGUGUCGUUUAUAUUGAAUGACGCGAGGAAUGUAUGUCGAUAUAACAUCGUCAUGAUACUACAGAUUAAUAUUCGAUCGUGGUACCGCGGUAGAUGGGAUGGGCGCUUACUGGAUAUAAUCCUGAAAGACGAAACGUGCGACUUACGAGCGCGUGGCGACGUCCGCUAUAAUUUAUAACGCCGGGGCCCCGCAACAAGAGCAGCCAGAAAUGACCACCCAGUGGCAGGGUAAAGGAUGUUCAGUCAUAACAUCUGAUGAAGCGAAACAUUAACGAGGCGAUAUAUCAGUCGGCUCUUAUAGACGCAAGCGUGGGCGGUAUCUCGGGCAUCGCUCAGAGGAACGAGCACGAAAUGAAAUGUGAAAGAAGUAAUUCCAUAGGACUAUCGGUUCUCUUCAUCGUAGCGACAUGUGACAUUUCUUACGUUACUUCGCGGUCGCUCGCAAGGAAUAAUCGUCCAAAUUAUCGAAUUUUUUUCUGUCACGGUUUUACUUUUAUCAAUAUACUAAUGAUAUAAUUGCUACAAAUAUUACGAUAUUUUUGCAAGUUAAUUUUUCUGUUAUACAACGACAACUCUCCGAUCAGAUUUUAAAACAGGAAGUUGACAAGUUUCAGCGAGACAGUUUCGUGCCGUGCUAUUCCGGAAGAAAUGCAAGUUGUUCUAUAAUGGUAAAAGGAGGCAGAGGCACUUUGCACGUACGCAGUGAGCAGUUUCCAUCGGGCCCUGCUAUAUCAUGCAUGUAUAUUCAUCCUUAGGGAUUAUCCCACCAUUCGAGCUGGAAUAAAAAUGGUAUAACCAUUUCGCAGGAUACUAUUCCGGAAGGACAAAUAAACGAAUACAUGGAUAUUUAAAACGCGCCAAGGCACUAUUCCGCACGCAGUGAAACGUUUUACCGGAAUAAUUUUCAGCAAUCGGCAAUCGACUCUGGUAUUUUUCCUGUAAAUUACAACUGUUGGACAGUCGAGUCGCAAUUUGGCGAUACCGGUUCGAUGAUAAACAGUCACCUAUCGACAGAAUUCUACCGCGACCGUUCGCUGUCCGAUGCAUUAUUCGUCGCGGUAUUUCGCAACGAAAGGAAUCUUAACGCGCGCCUGUUGCCCGCUCCGAUUCCGUUGACAGAAGAAGCCGGUCUUGAGUCGGCGAUUAUAAAUAAUCGCGUUGCUUGCACGGUCGGCGCCAUAAGUCGGCGUAGAAAAAUACGAGCGGCCGCCGCGGCAGCAGCAAUGGGAAGGAACACCAUUACUCAUUGGUUUAAAUUCAGCUUCGAACAGCUAAUGAGUUCGGCAUACCGCUGACAGUCAUACCCAGUAUAUCUUUCUCGACAAUCUCCCGAAUAUAUCACGAUUACGCGAUGAAGGUAAUUAAUAUUUGUGAUUAAUAUCGUAAUUUUAAUACAUGUUGUUAAUAUCUAUGUUGCAUACAUUAGACCGUAAAACUUUUACUAAGAGAAAAUUACACAAAGUUUCUUAGAGAUAUACCUUAUUAAUUGACUUAAUAACCGUACGUUUAAAUCUUUUUUGUCCAACAUAAUUUUUUUUUACUGUUCUAGACUUUGAAAAAAUCGGGAAAAAUUCAGAGUUACAUUACCUAAUAAUUUUUUAAUAAAUGUUAAAACUUUUAUUUAAUAAAAAUUGAAAUUUAAAUAGCGAAAUUUUUUUUAAUGAAACUUUUUUGCUCGUACCAAAAAAAAUUUACAAUUAAAUUGCAGACGAAGGGUUAAUAAAUGUAAUAAAAAUUUAGGGAUAAACUUGAGUAAAACAAAAAAAAAAAACAUCGAGACAAGACAAUGCGUUUUCUUAGAGCAGUAAUUUUUGCACGAACGUAUUCUUUCUAUUGGAGCAAGAGUUGACAAUGUGAAUAAUGACGAUCGAAUAGAUUGUCAGCGAGAGGGCAAAUUGCAAUUGCGGAAUCGCAAGUUCGCAAGGUACAAAGCGCAUAACUCGUCAAUCUCUCGUGCGGUUUUAAAGAUCCCGGCGUUUGGAGCGUACCGAAUAAAGGGGGACGGUAAAUCUGUCGGGGAAGAUAUGAGCAGUCACGGCGGCAGCACUGUGCAGCCGCCCAUUAUUCAUUGGCUUAAGCCGAGCACCGAACAGCUAAUGAGGCCGGCAUACCGGCGUGUCCGCGGCGAUCAUAGCCGGUGGACAGGCAUAAUAAUCCGGCAGAGAUUGCCGAUCGGCGAAACGUCUGUCGGCGUGGCACGGUAGCCGCAGAUGGAGCCCCUCGAUAUGACCAGCGAGAGUGCGCGGCGGGGUGACGGGAGUGAGAGACCAUUCCUGGAAGCCGUUAACUACGUCGUCGCGUCCUGACGCGUGUACCGAUCCGUGUACGCGCUGCCGAUUAAGGCCGCCACACGUCAGUCUGAUCGAUCGCCGAGAAACGGACCGCGAUCUAUUCUGCCGUUCCGCGGGGCCAAACUGCCGCGCCGAGUCUCGCCGAUUACGGCGGGAUGUGCGAUCGCGCGCGAAUCGCUUAUCUCUUUCUCUCGUUCUUUGCUUUUCUCCCUCGUUGCUAUCGUUUUAUACCUGUCAAAGACCCUCUGCCCGCGGAAAGACGAUAGAACGGGCUUGACUACGAGUUCUCCCGUAACUCCGUUGAUUUAGAAAUAAUAACGCGAACGUCUCUUGGAAUUUUGUCACGAUAUUUACGAUGUAGGAAGUUGGGAUUUUCUCUCUCUCUCUUUCUCUCUCUUUCUCGAACGUCAAAUGCGUUAUCAAGUCUGUGUAGCCCUAACCGGUAGGCAGCACAUCUAUGGAUGUGUCUACGCGCUCGCUAUAGUUAGGCAGCGAUAACCAUACGUCAGCCUCGAGUUAGGGUCGGCUCGGAAGGUGAAAUACGUGUCACGAUCAAUCGUCGUGAAAUUGCAGUUUUCUAAAUUUUUUCCGGGGCCAUCAUGGCGAGAAUAUACGACCGGCGAUCUCGGAACGUGGUGGUGAAAGGGAUAAGACGUGUGUGGCAGGCGCACUUUACGACCGUGUUUCCCAUCGAGCACCCUAGGCGAGCGAGAGCUAGCGCGCAAACAUAUCUCUCCUAAGAUGAGUUCGGGCGAUCAUUUUCGCUCUCUGUGUGCAUCCUGCUGUUGCGCGAGACGUCUGCCAUUUCAUCUGUCAGGAAGGCAGUCUUCGGUUUUGUACACAUAGACUCGCAUCAUUAUGGCAUUCUAUAUCCAGUGAGCAAAAUAACGCGUAAUGGAGCGUCUCAAGAGCUUUUCCCGUUCGUUUCCUCACCGAGAAUGCACCUGUCGACGAACUGCGAUAUACGAGUAUUUCUCCCGGUUGCUUCUCUCGGUCGAAAUUUCGAUCGUGUGUUUACAACGCGGCGAAUCGGGAACGCGGCAAUGGAACAGUGUCAAAUUUUACCGUCGCGUCGCGGAGGGGGAUUAGCGUAUAGCGUAAUCGAUGUCUUCGCCGUUUACGAUACGAUCGCGUAAUACAUUAUUGCUUCGUUACUCACGUCCGUUCACAUGCCGCGCCGCGCGCCGUCACGUUGUCACAAAGGGCAAGUGCGAUAAAUGAUAUAAAACGGCACUACAUAUGUUCUACUACACUGCAUAUUUCAUUCGCUUCUUACACGACCCGACAUAUCGAUCGCCUCGCGAGAUACGUUGAGUUACUUGUGCAAAAGUCGUUUCAGUUUCUCGCGCUGUAAAUCGGAGAGGGUAUAUCUCAAUCUUCGCAAAAAGUACAGAGCGAUAUAACUAUUCGUUACGGUAUAACCUUUUGCAAGGUGCUGUAUAAGAUAACAUAAAAUAUGCGUAUCCUAAAUCUCCCGUAUGUGUGUAUGCGAUCAUAUUUUACUGUCUCUUUUUAGCCACAAAAUUAUCGGCGAUUAUAACAUGCAUGAUAUAUGAGAGCGGUACGGCAAGUUACGGUUUUUGUAAACAAAGGUAUGGUGUAACAAAUUCGUUACGCGUGUAACCUUUUUAUACGCUAUACAACAUAAAACAUGUAUCUGAAAUGUGUAUGCUCAUCGUAUUUUACUGGUUCUUUUUUUAUUGGUGAUUACAUAUAACAUUCAAUGGCAGUCCAACAAUAACUAUCGGUUGCCUGUGAAAUUUUUAGAUAUUCUAGCGAACCUUGCGCCGACUUUUAUUCUCAAUUCGUUACGCAACCUUUUAUGAUAUGCUGUACAACAUAGGAUGAAACAUGUAUCUCAAAUUGUAUGUGCUCAUCGUAUUUUACUGUUUCUUUUCAAUCGGUGAUUACAUAUAACAUAUGAUGUCAGUACAACAAUAAACUAUCGGUUGCCUGUGAAAUUCUCAGAUUUCCUAGCAAACUUUGCCGACUUUUAUUCAUUUUUCGUUCGGCUACAAAAGCUCUCGAAAUUAGCAACGGCUAUCGGAGGAUUCAGGGAAAAGGACACGAGGAAGUAAAUCUCAUUGUGCUCUUGUAUAUCGUGGUCAUUAGUCAUGACCUUUGUACGAAUGAAUGAGAAGAUUAACUGGUAGGCGUUUAGCGUGGGCGGGCAGCUGAGGAUCGUCCCUCGACGUUCACGAGCACCUGGAGAGUCCAACAUCCAACGCCGCUGGCUGGUGGAAUUACAGUGGAAAUGAGAGAAGCAGAGAGCGGAAAAGCGCGGAGGGAUGCUAGGACACCCCCGGUGCGGUCUCCUAAUGAGAACCACCGCGGGACAUUCGUCUUUCAUGCCGGACACGUUGACACAUUUCUACCUCUCGGCAGGAAUGGAACAAGACGCACAACCGACCCAAGAGCAUCUGCCACGCGACGUAGUCUCGUCCGUUUCCGAAAUGAGCGCUUUAACCAGUUGACGGCGUAAUAUCCCGGAGCAACAUUCGCCCGUUCUAUUUGGUAAUUUAUAUGUUUCCUUCUCACGUCCGGUGCGUUGUCAGAAAUAGAUUCCGCUGAUCUUUGACGGGUCACAGGACAGCGUGUCUAGUCACGAUGAAUUGGAUGAAUAUUGAAAAUUUAAUCGCAUUCCACCCGCGACUCUCUUUCUCUUUCUCUCUCUCUUCCGUUCCAUGCGGAUCGUAUAAUCGCGGUUUAAAUUAAAACUUCAAGAACGUUCCAAGGAUACACGUGUGCUGCGAUACACGCGAAGCACUUAAGCACUCAGCGUCUUACGAUCGUCGUUUGACCGUUACUUGCUAAGUAGGCGAAACUCGAAAGAUCACAUUGUUAUUGCAGGCAUGGCACGAGCUUCGAGCAUCGCCGAUGAAAGACGAUGGGGCUACGUUGGGCUAUUCCGGGCACAAGUCCGACUGGCGCGACGGAACAUAAUUUCUCUUUAUUAGAUACAGCGUGUCGUUCCCGGGGUGGAUAAAAGCGGAGAAAUAAAGCCAAAAUUCUUUUGAUAUCGGAGGGUAUCGGGAUCGGGAGAUAGGCGCGGGACAAAAGGGGUACAUUUCCUCGGUGAAAUGCCGUCUCACCCUUGGACUAAACUGGCGAGCAGUAUUAGCCGGCGGCAUCUUGAUAUCAUCCGGCGAACUUGCCAACUCCUUUAUACAGACAUUUAUUUCCUGGCGUAUCUGUUACAGCCAAGUGGCGGUCUCGCAGAUUGCGCUACUUUGCUCCGUGCCGACUCAUUCUAUUUCUCUCUCCUCCCCUCAUUUCCGAAGGACUUGGAGAAAUCGGGGAAAACAUAAUCGUAAGUCAUUCGUUAUGGUCACGAAAUAGCAAUUACCUCGCUCGUAUGAAGAUAAUACGUACUUGGAAAUGGACGUACGAGUUAUAUUUGAAUCGUUUACGAGAGUGUCCGUUAAAUAGUACUAUACGCGAUUCUCUUUUAGACAAGACGGAAUUGUUAAAUAAUAAUUCGUGUGCACUUUCGCCAUCGAAGACAUACGGUGCUCAGUGCUCGAUGAGACGCGGACGUCGCACAUCGGUGACUAUUUGUAAUUACAGUCUCAUAUCCUGACCCAGAUAUUCGAUUCGAAGCGUUUUCAGCAAGACGGGAGAGCAGCUAGCCGUACAUCGUCCUAAAGCGGCCUCUAGCUCCUCUGGCGACCUCUCCGGCUUUAUGCCAGCGAGAACAGCCAACUAUACGCCACGCAAGAAAACACAAACUUUAUACGUUACGGCGAAACUACCGCAUCGAGGGGGAGGGGGGAGGGGAACAAAAGACCCGCGCGGAGACAUUACGGAAGAGGAAAAUACGUGGUGGCUAGCUGCUACAGGGGGCUCGUAAAGAGGGAACGUGGAGCGCCAGUAUAGCGUCGAGGACAACGUUUAUACGCGAACGCCUUUCUCGCCACUUUUUUCCCUCAAAUUGUUUCGUCGCGGCUUAAUCUCUGUGUUACCACGCUAGCCAAGCGUUUUUACGAAAAUAAGAUUGUAAAAUACGCGUAUGCAAACAGUAUAUGUACGUGAUGGAUAAGUUAGAAAAGCGCUAUUGGGUAUAAAUCAAAGAUUUUAGUUUCUCGUCGACUUGUGCUUUUUUUUUUCUCUGUUCCAUUCUAAUCGACGCGGCGACAAACGUGGCGGAAGCCGAGUCGUCCGUCCGCGUGUCACCGCGAUUCCCGGCCACCUGUCCCCGAUGAACUUCCCUUCGGCGCAUCCUGUACACGUGUAGAAUGUAUUCUGUUGCCCUGCUGCGGGUAACAGAGUAUUUGUUAAUGCCCGUGCGCGAUCAGCGUGCGGCCUCCGUGCAAACAUGUCAACUUGUCGCGCCGCAGUGACUCCGCACGCGGACAGGGACAGUCGGGCUGCUCGGUCACUGUUGCAUGUCACGACGUUGUUGCUAUUUAGCCUUCCAUCACUCCUGUCUUUUAUGCCACUCACGUGACACGAGCAUUACCGAUUCUUGUGGAAGCCGCUUUCCGCGCCACUGACAGGCAUGUUUUAUACCGUAUACGCCCGCCGUGUGACCUGGGCAAAUUGGAUUUUUCUAUCGCAACCAAAGCGAACGAUUUUAAGCGAAACGAUUCAAGCAUCACGUAGCUGUAAAACGUUUAAUAAUGUUGACUCUUUCCUCUUUGCUACUUUUCACCAAUCGUUGUCUCAAAAUAUUAAUUAAUUUAUUAUAAACAGUAAAAAAAAAGAAAAUCUUAAUCUCCCCUUAUUUAAAAUUUAUUGAUGAUCAAUAUAGAAUCUAUUAACUUUUUCACGAAUGUCAUGAUUGAAUUUUUACGAGCGUGUUUCAUUACUAUUCUGUCUUGGAAUGACCCAUAAUUCAUAUAAUCUGUCUUUUGUGUUGGCUCAAAGGAAAGUUCCGAGGACACUUACAGCAUAAAUAAUGAUAUUUCCCCUGUCCGUAUUCAAGCGUCGCACCCCAACCAAUAAGCAACGCCUCCCUAUCACCGAAAAUGACUGACAAGCACUCCGUCAGCAUCAUAUUUCCUAAACAUAACGAGAUUAGGUCGCAUUGUGACGGCACUCGAAGCUAAUUUACAUUCUAAUCCGUACACUAUUUCCGCCCUAUCUUCGAGUCUGUCUGUCGCAUUCACCAAUGGUAUUUUCAUUCCCGACAAGCGUAUGCAUCUCGAAUAUUUUUCAAUAAUGACCUCCGAGGAACGAUUUUCGGGGUAUUUACAUAAACUGAUAUUAUCUCAGCCGAAUGUAUAACAGACUGUACAGAAGAUAUAAUUUAAAUGAUAAAGAGUGCGAGAUUUGGAAUGAGGGACUGGCUACUCGAACGAUUGCCAAGAAAUGUAAAUGUAUGCUGAAAAUUUAUGUGUGCAUGACGCUUGUGGAACCCGGUAAUGCAGCUCUUUCGCAAGAAUGUCUGCACGUUGACAAGGCAUCGUGCGAAAGAAGAGAGAGAACGGACUAUCAAACGAAAGACCGUGUCAGAUGGAAUUAGACACGGUUCGGCGGAUUAACCGUUUGGCUCGACGCGCCGUUAGAGGAUAACAAUUUAGAGUAAGCAGAAGUAGAUUGACGGUGGCAGCGUUUGCGAAAUGUUCGCGCCAGCCGUCAUCCCGUAUCAUAUAAUCUUGGUAAUUAUCUCGCUAAAGUUACUCGCGUCAUUCAAAGGUGAUAAAUUCAACUCGCCUUCACGUAUAUAUCUGCGUCUACGUUUCGUAAUUGAUUAAUUGCAAAAAAUAUGUGGCGUUUAUUUGAAUAAAAAUAAUGAACUUACUUUUAUUUAACUUAACAUUUGUAAUGUUACAAUAUACAUAACUUAAUCUUUCUUACAAUUAUUUAUCGAAUAUCUGAAGAAAUCGUCAUGCUACUUUAUAUAUAUUUUAUUAUAUACAUGUACGAUUAUUUAUUUAUAGGAAAAAUAAAUAAACGAAAUAAACGUGGUUUGUAGUAA